rnacentral:rRNA from 1 species
GUUGGAAACGACUGCUAAUACCGUAUAAUCUGCAUAUUUAACUUUAUGUGGGAAAGGUGGCCUCUAUUUAUAAGCUACCGCUUUAGGAUGAGUCCGCGUCUCAUUAGCUUGUUGGUGGGGUAAUGGCCUACCAAGGCAACGAUGAGUAGCUGGUCUGAGAGGAUGAUCAGCCACACUGGGACUGAAACACGGCCCAGACUCCUACGGGAGGCAGCAGUGGGGAAUAUUGCGCAAUGGGGGAAACCCUGACGCAGCGACGCCGCGUGUAGGAAGAAGGCCUUCGGGUCGUAAACUACUGUCAAGAGGGAAGAAACUGUUAGGCAUUAAUACGGCCUUUCACUGACGGUACCUCUAGAGGAAGCACCGGCUAACUCCGUGCCAGCAGCCGCGGUAAUACGGAGGGUGCAAGCGUUAAUCGGAAUCACUGGGCGUAAAGCGUGCGUAGGCGGCGCAACAAGUCAGACGUGAAAGCCCUCGGCUCAACCGAGGAAUUGCGUUUGAAACUGUUGUGCUAGAGUCUCGGAGAGGUUGGCGGAAUUCCAGGUGUAGGAGUGAAAUCCGUAGAUAUCUGGAGGAACACCGGUGGCGAAGGCGGCCAACUGGACGAGUACUGACGCUGAGGU